rnacentral:lncRNA from 1 species
GCCGUGGUGGCGCCCACAACUUUCCUGUGCAGCAUCGGGAACGCUUUCAACUCCCACACAGCCCGUUUGCCUGAGCGUCGCCCUGACCCGGAAAACGCAAGAGCGUGUCGGACCACCCGAGCAAUCUGGGAUCCCACACAAGCGUGCCGUGCCUUCUGGAGAGGAAGUGUUUAGGAAUAUUUUAGAAACAACAACAACGAAAACAAGAACAAAAACAAAACCGGCUGCCAGAGGCUGAAACUCAGAAAUCUCAAAAUUCUUAUGCAUCCCCAGACCUUCUAAACAAUACGAAUAUUCUCCUUGGCAGCCAAUGGAAAUGAAGGCGAGUUACCCCGGAAGGAAGGUGUGCAGGGAAUUGGCAGUGUUGUGCCCAGAGCCACAGGUGCCUCCUCCAAAAGGCUUUUUCAACCAUGGCGAACAACCGACUUUUUCACUCCGUCUGAGGGUCUUCUUGGUCAACGUGGUGCAAAAAGGCUGCGUUAGCAACAGAUUGAGAUUCCUGUAUUUGGCAACCUUCUUCCGAGAAACAUUAUUAUCAUUUUGGUCCAAAUCACACUGCUGGUUGGUGUCAGUGUCGUCUGUAGGUGAGCUGAUGACAGCAAUCCCCCUCCCGACCUCUCCUGACUAUAGAGAAGAGGGGACAGCCUGCGUGGUCUCCGUGCUGGUGAAGAAGCUUGCCAGCACCCCAGGCCCUCUGUGCACACUUUCUUUUGUUUUUAAUGUUUAUUUAUUUUUGAGAGAGACAGAACAUGAGCGGAGGAGGGGCAGAGAGAGAGAGGGAGACACAGAAUCGGAAGCAGGCUCCAGGCCCCGAGCUGGCAGCACAGAGCCCGACGUGGGACUCAAACUCACAGACCGCGAGAUAGUGACCUGA